rnacentral:rRNA from 1 species
GUAGAACGCUGAAGCUUGGUGCUUGCACCGAGCGGAUGAGUUGCGAACGGGUGAGUAACGCGUAGGUAACCUGCCUCUUAGCGGGGGAUAACUAUUGGAAACGAUAGCUAAUACCGCAUAAAAGUCGAUAUCGCAUGAUAUUGAUUUGAAAGGUGCAAUUGCAUCACUAAGAGAUGGACCUGCGUUGUAUUAGCUAGUUGGUGAGGUAACGGCUCACCAAGGCGACGAUACAUAGCCGACCUGAGAGGGUGAUCGGCCACACUGGGACUGAGACACGGCCCAGACUCCCACGGGAGGCAGCAGUAGGGAAUCUUCGGCAAUGGGGGCAACCCUGACCGAGCAACGCCGCGUGAGUGAAGAAGGUUUCCGGAUCGUAAAGCUCUGUUGUAAGAGAAGAACGAGUGUGAGAGUGGAAAGUUCACACUGUGACGGUAACUUACCAGAAAGGGACGGCUAACUACGUGCCAGCAGCCGCGGUAAUACGUAGGUCCCGAGCGUUAUCCGGAUUUAUUGGGCGUAAAGCGAGCGCAGGCGGUUAGAUAAGUCUGAAGUUAAAGGCUGUGGCUUAACCAUAGUACGCUUUGGAAACUGUUUAACUUGAGUGCAGAAGGGGAGAGUGGAAUUCCAUGUGUAGCGGUGAAAUGCGUAGAUAUAUGGAGGAACACCGGUGGCGAAAGCGGCUCUCUGGU